CCCCUAGAUGUUCUGGGCCGCACGCGCGCUACACUGAACAGUUCAACAAGUCUUAACCUUGGCCGAUAGGUCUGGGUAAUCUUUGAACGCUGUUCGUGAUUGGGAUAGACUUUUGCAAUUUUUGGUCUUCAACGAGGAAUUCCUAGUAAACGCAAGUCAUCAACUUGCAUUGAUUACGUCCCUGCCCUUUGUACACACCGCCCGUCGCACCUACCGAUUGAAUGGUCCGGUGAAGCCUCCGGAUUGGCGCGCACCUCGGUGCCGCCGAGAAGUUGGCUAAACCUUACCAUUUAGAGGAAGGUGAAGUCGUANCA
rnacentral:rRNA from 1 species